rnacentral:lncRNA from 1 species
UGACCCCCGACACCCGACUCUCGACCCCCGACGCCCGACGCCACCAACCCUCGACGCCCGACGCCACCAACCCCCGACCCUCAACCCCCGACCCCCGACGCNUUAGUUAGCUUGGUUAGUUAGAUGGAGGAGGAGAAGAGGAGAGGAGGAGGAGGAGGACGACGAGAAGAGGAGAAGAAGAGGAGGAGUAGGAGGAGGAGGAGAAGAAGAAAAAUAAGAAGAAGAACAAGAACAAGAACAAGAACAAGAACAAGAACAAGAACAAGAACAAGAACAAGAAGAGGAGAAGAAAAAAUAAGAAGGAGAAGAAGAAGAAGA